rnacentral:rRNA from 1 species
AUUGAACGCUGGCGGCAGGCCUAACACAUGCAAGUCGAACGAGUGGCGGACGGGUGAGUAAUGUCUGGGAAACUGCCCGAUGGAGGGGGAUAACUACUGGAAACGGUCGCUAAUACCGCAUACCAUCGGAUGUGCCCAGAUGGGAUUAGCUAGUAGGUGGGGUAACGGCUCACCUGGGCGACGAUCGCUAGCGGGUCUGAGGGGAUGACGAGCCACACGGGAACUGAGAAACGGUCCAGACUCCUACGGGGGGCAGAAGGGGGGAAUUGUGCACAAGGGGCGAAAGCCUGAUGCAGCAAUGCCGCGUGUAUGAAGAAGGCCUUCGGGUUGUAAAGUACUUUCAGCGAGGAGGCGUUACUCGCAGAAGAAGCACCGGCUAACUCCGUGCCAGCAGCCGCGGUAAUAC